rnacentral:rRNA from 1 species
CCUACGGGGGGCAGCAGUGGGGAAUAUUGCGCAAUGGGCGAAAGCCUGACGCAGCGACGCCGCGUGAGGGAUGAAGGUCUUCGGAUCGUAAACCUCUGUCAGCAGGGAAGAACGGUCACUGUGCUAAUCAGCAGUGAAUUGACGGUACCUGCAAAGGAAGCACCGGCUAACUCCGUGCCAGCCGCCGCGGUAAUCCGGCGGGUGCGAGCGUUAAUCGGAAUUACUGGGCGGAAAGGGCGCGUAGGCGGUAGGUCAAGUCAAGGGUGAAAUCCCCGCGCUCAACGUGGGAACUGCCUGUGAAACUGGCAAACUGGAGUGUGUGAGAGGAUAGUGGAAUUCCAGGUGUAGGAGUGAAAUCCGUAGAUAUCUGGAGGAACAUCAGUGGCGAAGGCGACUAUCUGGCACAUAACUGACGCUGAGGAGCGAAAGCGUGGGUAGCAAACAGGAUUAGAUACCCGAGUAGUC